rfam:Schistosoma curassoni strain Dakar, Senegal genome assembly, scaffold: SCTD_scaffold0007475
AUCUAGCCGUCGAGUUCCAAAUAUGACGAAACGCGUGUCCUGGAU